AUAACAAAAACUAUGUAUCUAAAAAAGCUAAAAUUACCUAUAGCUUGGAACGGAGGGAGUAACAGAUAUAGGCAAAGAUACAAUAAUAUUAUCAGCUGCAUCAUUUCAAUGCAAAAUUUUCUAACAUUCUUUGGAUUCAAAUUGCGGAGAUCAUCUAAAUUUUGCAAACAAAAGAACAAAAUGAUUUACUUUUUCUUUAAUUAUGUUGGAUACUUUGUCGGGGUUGCUUUUGUACAGGUCAUUACUCUCCUCACUUGCAUGUGACAAAUGAUGGCAUAAUUUUGUGCAGGUUGCUUUUGUCGGGGUAAUCACAUGCACAAUAUUUCUUCGUACAAGAUUACACCCUGUUGAUGAGCAGAAUGGGAAUCUUUAUCUGUCUUGUCUGUUUUAUGGACUUGUUCAUAUGAUGUUCAAUGGUUUUACUGAGCUGCCCAUUACUAUUUCACGGCUUCCAGUGUUCUAUAAGCACAGAGACAAUUACUUUCAUCCUGCAUGGGCUUUCUCAAUCCCCAAUUGGAUACUAAGAAUUCCAUAUUCUCUUAUUGAAGCGGUAGUUUGGUCAUGUGUUGUUUACUACACAGUAGGCUUUGCGCCUACUGCUGAUAGGUACCGACUACCUACUCACCUGUAGGCUGAAUUCUACUUUGGUACUUGGAUAUGUCAGAAUAAUACAAAUUUUCUGCAGAUUCUUUCGUUUUAUGCUAUUGUUGUUCUCUGUACAUCAAAUGGCUUUGGGCCUUUUCCGGAUGAUGGGAGCUAUAGCACGAGACAUGACUAUUGCUAAUACUUUUGGAUCAGCUGCCUUAUUGGCAAUUUUUCUCUUAGGAGGGUUCAUUGUUCCUAAAGGUCAGUGUUUAUAUGUUUAUUUCCUGUGAUGUGCUUAAUUCUGCUUGAAACCUUACCUGUCCCUGACAUGAUAGUUAGUACUGAGAAGAGUUAGCAGGUUUAUUUCCCUAAUGAUCAAGAAUGAUUUUUUACUUUCAAUGCGACAUAUUGUGAUUUUUUUUACUACUAUUGUGCAUAAAAGAGGCUAUAAAACCAUGGUGGCAGUGGGCUUAUUGGGUUUCCCCCUUAAUGUAUGGACAACGUGCAAUUUCAGUUAAUGAAUUCUCAGCAUCCAGAUGGUCAAAGGUCUGUUUGAAUGAAUCACCUUUUCUAUCUCCUGGUUUCGACUUUUCAUAGUAUGCUGAAGAAAGGUCCUAAUAGCAAAAUUUAAUGAUAUUAUAAUUAUAAGCAACAAAAAAUUUUAUAUAUUUUCUGCAUGCUGGAACUAUGUAUUGUUCAAUUUUCUCAUUUUGAGUGUCAAACAUAAUAUGGUCCAACUGCAUAUUCUAUUGAGUCUUUCUCUUUUACCAGAAGGAUCAUUUUACAUUCUUUAUAUUUUGGUUGCUAUAUUUUGUUCUGACAUGUUUCAUUACAGGUAUCAGUUGCUGGCAGCAAUAGUACAGUCAGAGCCAAUGUUCUCAUUUCACACAAUCUGCCAACAGAAGAUUACUGGUACUGGAUUGGAGUUGGUGCUUUAUUGGCUUACACCGUCUUGUUCAAUGGUCUAUUUACUCUUGCUUUGGCAUUCCUUAAUCGUAAGUGUAGAAAUGAAAUUUUAAUUCUAAUUUCUAAAAUUUUUCUGCAGUACAAGCUGAUUGGAUUUUGAAACAAAAUUUGUAAUUUUUUUUGAAGCUCUAAGGAAGGCUCAAACGAUGAUCCCAUCUGAUUCUGAGGAAACAAAUGCUGCAGGAAUUGAUAAUGUAUCCAAUGGACAUGUAGUUGCAGGUGAUUUCUCAUUUUUACAUGGGAACACAUGAUACUUGUUUUUUACCUAUAACACAUAUUUUUUCAUAAUGAGAUUAUGGUUGUAUAUUCUCAAUUUAAACAACUGCGAAGUUAAAUAUUACUCCCUCUGUUCAAAGAUACAAGGUGUAUAUUAUAUUUUUUAUAAGUCAGCAUUUGUACAUUUUGACCAACUAUUAAACAAUCUUCAAGAAUGUUUAGCACAGUAAAAUUGUACAAUAGAUUUAUAUUUCAAACUGCUUUCACAUGAUAAGGUCUUGGUAGCUACAUUCAAUUUAUGUGGAAAAAAAUGGUUAAAAGUUUAACUUUGAUGAACCUGUUGAAAUAAAAUAAUUUUUUUGAAUGUGGGGAGUAAUUAUUUAGAGUUAAUGGGUUGUACUAUUUAUGAUUGAAUGGUCUAUUGAUUUUUCAAACCUUCAUUGUACACCCCUUCGUUCCAUAAUGUAAGAGGUUUUAGUUUUGUCAAAAGUCAAACUUCUCUAACUUCUUAUAAAAAAAGCUUCUCUAACUUUGACCAAGUUUAUAGAAAAAGAUGCAAUGAUAUCAGCAAUAUCAAAUUAGUUUCUAUUAAAUACACCAUUAAUGUCUUGAUAGUGCAUUUAUUUUGUAUUGUAGAUGUCAAUAUAUUUUUCUAUAAACUUGCUCAAAGUUAGAGAACUUUGGCUUUGGACGAAACUAAGACCUCUUAUAUUUUAGAACGGAGAGUGUACUUGGAGCCAAGGAGCUUUGGAAUCUGAUUUUAGGAAUAGGCUUUGUGUGUUUUGCUUAGUCGUUAUCUUGGUCAGAUUGAUUCUUAAGGCUGUGGCGCGAUAGUUUUGCAAGGCUCUGGCCUUGUACAAUUUUCUCUUCUACUUCUAUGAAAUGAUAACCAAUUUCUCUUCUGUAUUUGAGAUGUUCAAUUGUUCGCAUGGUAUGUAUAAUUUCAGUGCUUUGGUAGUAACAAUGAACAACCUCUACCCUGAAUUGAAUUGCAGAAAAUAAUGGCAGAAAUUAUGAGUUUAAACGGCAGACUGAAGGCGAACUUAACAAGGGAAUGAUACUACCGAUUCUACCUCUAACAAUGACGUUUUACAAUGUGAACUAUUUUGUUGAUAUGCCCAAGGUUAUUCUUCUUAUACUUUCUAUUCGUUUAUAUAUAUUUAUUAUAGAUGUUCCUCUGUUAAGAUAAUAUUUAAGUAAAUAGGAAAUAAAAGCAAGGGGUGUACCUGAGAAAAGACUACAGUUGCUGUCUGAAGUAAGCGGGGUAUUUAGGCCCAAUGUCCUAACAGCACUGGUUGGCUCAAGUGGUGCUGGAAAGACAACCCUUCUUGAUGUUUUAGCUGGCAGAAAAACAGGCGGAUAUAUCGAAGGUGAUAUGAGGAUCUCUGGACAUAAGAAAGAACAAAGAACCUUUGCCAGGAUAGCUGGAUAUGUUGAGCAAAAUGAUAUCCACUCACCACAAGUGACAGUUGAAGAGUCCUUAUGGUUUUCGUCAAUCUUACGGCUUCCAAAAGAUAUAAGUAGAGAAACAAGACAUGUAUGUUUCAAUACUUGCACAAACUCGUUUUACUCUGGAGUGCAUAGUUGUUUGAGUUGAUGCACACUUCCAAUUUUCCUGCAGGAAUUUGUUGAGGAAGUUAUGGCUUUGGUAGAGCUUGAUCAACUGAGACAUGCAUUAGUAGGGAGACAGGGUUCUACUGGAUUGUCAACAGAGCAAAGGAAACGCCUUACAAUAGCUGUUGAACUAGUUGCAAAUCCUUCAAUUAUUUUCAUGGAUGAACCUACUUCUGGUUUGGAUGCAAGAGCAGCUGCCAUUGUGAUGCGUACUGUUCGAAAUACUGUUGAUACUGGGAGAACUGUUGUUUGCACUAUACACCAGCCGAGUAUUGAUAUCUUUGAAGCCUUUGAUGAGGUAGGUAUACAUUCUUUGUGUUUUUGUAUCUGUUGGCAGUUGCUUACCAUUUUGGUCCCCCUUUGUUGACUGCUCAUCUGAUUACAGCUCCUCCUCCUGAAACGUGGAGGCCGUGUUAUAUAUGGUGGUUCUCUGGGUGUCAAUUCAAUUGAUAUGAUUGGUUAUUUUCAGGUUGCUCUUUUUGUCUCCAUUUGCUUCACAAAGGAUUUUAAACAACAAUUUGUCCUCAUAAAGGUUUAAGUUACCCAGAUAAUGUUAAAUAACGGUGUUUCCUGUAUUAAUAAUACUUCGCCAGUACCGUAAUUUAAAAGUAUACCAGUUAAAUCAUUUGUCUUUCAGUGUACUAAAAAUUUCUUACAUAGUGAUGAAAUGUAUAGACUAAAAUCUAGGUCUAGGUCAUCUUGGAAUUAUUUGCUACCGUACUGGCAUAUUUAUGCUCAGGCAGUAAGACACCAUUGCAACUGACAACUGAGCACGCACAGAAGCCAUGCUAACUGUUGGUAUCAGUACAUCCUAGAGAUAUAGAUUAUCUGAAGUAGCCUAGGAAUAAGGGACUGGUUGUUACCCUCAAGAUUAUAUAAUCUCGUAUAAUCUCAUAUAAUCUGACAUGGACAACGAACACCACAGAUAUUCUUCAGAUUUAAAUAAUCUAUCUAUACCCCCAGAUUAUCAUAAUCCCAUAAGCUGUCCAAGGUAUGCUUAUUUCAAAUUAUAUAAUCUAGCAUAUAUAAGCUGGAUUAUAUAAUCUGAGCAGGAAACAAACAGGGCCAACGACUAUAACUUAGGUAAUCAGAUAACCAGUUCAGAAUGUUGGCUUACAUUGCACUGCAUGACUUUUUUUUUAAAAGGAUUUAUAGUCUUUUUUGUUAGGUGCUGGACUCUUUGAAGAGAGAGAGAAAAAAAACUAGGUGAACCUAGGAGGAACUAGAUGGAUUCAUAUAAGAAAAAAUAGGCACCCAUAUUCACCUCAAGAAGGACUCGAACUUAGGUGGUCUUGGCGUACAACACCCAAUUAAGCUAGGCUCAGUUAACAUCUAUAGAAAGAUAGGGAUUAGUUAUUUCGAUAUUGCAAAUAGAUGAAUUAAUUGUUCUUGUAUCUUUCAAGUUCGUCUCUCUAUAGACGAAUUCCUCCCCACGUACUACCCAUCAUAGAUCAUCUUUCUCUGCCGAGGUUUUAUCACAUUACAAAGAAAGAUUAGUUGCAUCAUUGACUUCAAGAUUUUUAGCACUGAUAUACAGCCCCUUUGAAGCAGUUAACACCAAUUGUUGAGGGAAGCAUCUCACAUAUAUGGUAUCUAGUGUGUGUAAAUAUGCAUAACUUUUUAUAUUGUCUCAUACAAAUUAAUGUUUCUGGUUAAAUACUUAGCCACAUAGAAACGUGUGCUGAAAACUUCAGGUAAUAAAAGUUAGUGCCCUUAUACAUAAUCAAUUUUUGAAAGAAAAAAAAUUCCACGAACAUGUGAUUGAAAGCAAAUAAAAUCUUUAUGUUUGAACUUGUUUGCAUCCGCUUUUUCUUCACACUUAUAUAAUCAUAAGAUCAUAAUGUGUUAAAUAUUGUCAACACAGUCCAUUCCCGGGGUUCCUCGUAUCCCUGAAGGCUACAAUCCAGCAACCUGGAUGCUUGAGGUCAGCACACAGGCAUGUGAAGAGAGCCUUGGUUUAGAUUUUGCAACAUUGUACAAGAACUCAGAUCAGUUCAGGUGAUUCGUACUGGACUUCAAAUAAUGCUCCUGUUGUGUUUUCUCUUACCUAACUGGUUUGCUUUCAAAUAAUUUUUCGUAAAUGCAUACAAAAUUUGUGCAACUUUUCAGAACUAGUUUAACAAACUUGUCCACUAUAAUUUAGGAAUGUGGAAGGGAUAAUUGAAGCAUUAAGUGCUCCAGCUGAUGGCACGAAACCUUUGGAAUUCUCAUCGGAGUUUUCACAGAACUUUCUCACUCAGUUCAAAGCAUGCUUGCGUAAGCAAAGCCUUAUUUACUGGAGAAGUCCAGAGUACAAUGUUGUGCGGUUAUUUUUCACGGCCAUUGCUGCUGUCAUAUUUGGAUCAAUAUUUUGGAACGUUGGAAUGAAAAGGUAUAUCUUUCUCUUAGGCCUAUUCCAUUUUUCUGUUCAUUCUUCAAAUUAACAUUUUCGAAAUGUAUAUAUGUGGUUGGUUCAUAAAUCAUAAUUUUUACGAUGCAAUGGCCCAAAAAUACUAGUGUAUUCAGAAAACUGAACAAACUGUUUCAUUGUUAUGAAAAGUAUCAGGUAUACAACAAGCAUUGCAACUUUGCCUUAUUCAUGGCCAGUGUUAUUUAUGGCCCCAUACCAAAUAAUUUUCCCUUCCAUGUGUGUCUCAGACUGUAUAACAUCUUAGCAGCCAUAAUGUCUGCCGAGGCCAUAAAGGGAUGCCAUAGCCAAUAUAUUUCUCAUGGCUGUCAUACAAUAUAGGAGUUAAGUAAAGUAAGAUGGGAUGUGUAUGGGUAUCUACUACUCCAUCUGAUAUCAAUAUACUUCCAUGCCCAGCUUAUAACUUGAAAUAAAAACCAUGAAUUUUCUUUCUUGAGCCUCUGUUCUUUCUUUGUGUUUAGUUGUAUCAUGUGCUAAAGUUCUACUUAUUAACUUGGUUUCUCUCCAACCAUCCAUGUUGAAUAAAUAAAUUAAGUGUUGGUUUGCGGGAAUUUCUUUGGUGUGUUGCUCUACAGAGCACCCACACUUCUCCAAUAUGCAGGAAAGCCCUUUACAUUUGUUUUAUUUACACCAACACUCCCCGUCAAGAUGGGCUAAAUAUAUUCAAUAUACCCAUCUUGUUACAUGCCAACUCAUUAUCCUUAGGACCUAGACCUUUUGUGAGACUAUCAGCUAAUUGAUCACGAGACUUAAUAACAUACUCUAGCUUCAAAGCCCCAAUAUUAAUCUUCUCCUUGAUGAAGGACCUGUUGAUCUCCACAUGCUUCAUGCGAUCGAACUGAACCGGAUUAUUUGCUAUAUUGAUCGCUGCUACAUUAUCACAAUGAAGCAACAUAGUCUCAUUCUUCAACACCCGAAGCUCCUUCACAAGGAGCCACGUCAUCUCACAUGGAGCCAAUGCCAUUGCUCUAUGUUCGGCUUCUGCAGUAGACCAAGACACCACAGCUUGCUUCUUGCUCCUCCACGAAACAAGAUUUCCACCCACAAACACACAAUAUCCAGAUGUAGAUCUCCUAUCAUCUCUGCUACUUGCCCAAUCAGCAUCACAAUAACCUUCUAGAUUCAGGUGUUGGUUUUCCCUAAACCACAACCCCUUACCAGGGGUUCCCUUCUAAUAUCUUAGGAUUUGAUAAACCGCCUCCAUUUGCCCAGUACUAGGAUCAUGCAUAUACCUGCUCACCACACUCACUGCAUAAGAAAUUUCAGGUCUUGUAUGGCAAAGGUAUAUCAAACGACCAACCAACCUCUGAUAUCUUUCCCAAUCCACAGGAUCACCCAACUCAGCACACAUUUGGUGAUUCUUAUCAAUGGGUGAGCCACAUGGACAACACCCAAGCAUUCCCGUCUCCGCCAACAGAUCAAGGACAUACUUCCUUUGGGAGAGAAUAAUCCCUUUUGAUGAUCUGGCAAUCUCAAUCCCAAGAAAGUAUCGAAGUGGUCCAAGAUCCUUUACCUCAAAGGCCUUACCUAACCAUUCUAGAUGGCAUUCAGUUGAUGAGGCAUGUGGCUGCCAUCACUGCCUCACUCCACAAAUAUUUAGGUACAUUCAUGUGAAACAUGAGAGACCUUGCUACCUCCAACAGAUGUCGAUUUUUUCUCUCAGCUACACCAUUCUGAGGUGGAGUCCCAGGACAAGUGGUCUGAUGAAUAAUUGCUUAGUCUGUAUAUGAUCUGAGUCCCAUUAUCAGUAUGGAUGAUGCGGACCUUUGCAUUAAACUGAUUAGCAACCAACUUAUGAAAGUUCUGAAAGCACCGAAGCACCUCAUUCUUAUGCUUAAGCAUAUAGAUCCAGGUCAUCCGUAUAUAACAAUCAAUAAAGGUAACAAACCACUUGACACCACUCACAUAGGUGACCGAACAAGGACCCCAAACAUCUAAAUUAGAAUAAACGGUUCACAACUGUGAAGACCAAUACUAGGAUAGGUGGAUCUAGUGUGCUUGCCAAGUUCACAUGCAUCACAUACAAGUUUCCUUUUGUCCACUCCACUAAACAUAGCUGGAUAUUGCCGAUUUAAGCUUUCAAAAGAUACAUGUCCCAACCGACAGUGGAGUAGCAAAAUUGCCAUCACAUCUCCUUUUGCAGCUGCUGCAAAUGCUAACUCCUCAUGAUUGACGAACCACAACCCGUUACUCCUAACUCCAGUCCCAACUCUUCUCCUAGUCCCCCUCUCCUGAAAAGUACAAGAUGUUUCAUCAAAUGUUGUACACUUGAAUUGAUCCAUGAUUGAACUAUCAGAGAGAAGAUUGAUAGGAAAAGAUGGGACAUGCAGGACUGAAGAUAGGCUAAGAGAAGGUGUGCACUCUACGUAUCCUACACCAUGGAUAAGUUGGGAUGUGCCAUCAGCAAAUUGAACGGACUUAGAAUGAGUAUAUGGACUAUGUUUUUAAAGAAUUACACAUGCCCGUAACAUGCUUGGAUGCUCCUGCAAGUGCCAGUGCCUGAGUACCUUUGCCCAUGUGGGCGUAGUUGGCAAAGUUGCCGAAGUUGUUGGAGGUCGAAGUAACAGGAUCAAGUGAGACAUUGGUGGAACUUUAAGGAGCUCUGCCUUUCUGCCAUUGCUCCCAUUGUUUGACUUGCUCUCCCGUCAGAGUGAUAGACAGAGUCUCCUCAGUGGCCGCCACAUUGGCCCUAGGGCCAACACGGCCUCCACUGUGGCCUCCAUCACAGCUAUCACGGCCUCCUACAUAGCUCCCACGUGGGAGGAGUACUCCCACGACUCUACGGGUUCCACCUCGACCACCACUACCAGUUGCUGCCUUCAUUGCAGCCUCUUCUUCCUUCCUUUUCGCUUCCAUCUCUUCUGGACUCAUUUCUACCACCACCUGUUGCAUAGACACACACGAACCAGGCUUCCUUCCCCCUUCUUUCUUCUUCAAGCAACAACAAUCUCACCUUGGGUAUUGGCCGUAGCCCUUCUACACACAAAAACUCAAUCAGCAGCUCCUUUCAGCAGGCAGGCAAGCAGCCGUAACUUUCUUCACACAAAACUCAAGCAGCAGCUCCAGCACAAAUCAAGCAGCAGCUCCUCCAGAUGCAAAUCAAGCAGCAGCUCCACUCAGCCACACGCCCAGGCACAAGCACCUGCACGCGCCGCUCCCUUGUGGCCCCACGCUCGCUUGCAGCUCGUGCGCGCAGCUUCACCCAUGUUCCCUCGCGCCCUUGCCGGCGACCGCCGGGCGCGACCUCACACACUGGCCUCGCAAGCUCCGGCGACCCUAACCCCUCUGUAUACCAUGUUGGUUUGGGGGAAUUUCUCUGGUGUGUUGCUCUACAUAUCACCCACACUCUUAUAUUUCUCCAAUAUGCAAGAAAGCCCUUUACAUUUGUUCUAUUUACACCAACAUUAAGCCUUGACAAAUUUAGCGAAAAACAAAUACGGUGGAGUCUACUACAACAACAACAACAAAAACAACAACUUAGCCUUUUGUCCCAAGCAAGUUGGGGUAGGCUAGAGAUGAAACCCACGGAAAACAAGAAUAAGAAACACAAAAAGGGUACAAGCCAAAGGAAGAGUUAGGGAUUAAACAAAAAGAAACAAAGGUCACGGUUCAGUUAAUUGCUAAUCUCCAAGCCUCCUAUCCAUAGCUAAUUCCUUAGCGAUAUUCCACUCCUUAAGGUCUCUCUUGACCGUCUCGUCCCAAGUUAGUCUAGAUCUACCUCUACCUCUCCUUACAUUAUCGCCCCGCUUUAAAACUCCACUACGCACCGGCGCCUCGGGAGGCCUCCGUUGUACAUGUCCAAACCAUCUCAACCGAUGUUGAACCAACUUCUCCUCGAUAGGUGCCACCCCGACCCUAUCUCGAAUCUCUUCGUUCCGGACUCUAUCCCUUCUUGUAUGCCCGCAGAACCAACGCAGCAUACGCAUCUCUGCUACACUCAGUUGCUGGACAUGUCGCUUUUUUGCUGGGCGAAUCGCCGUCCUAUAGAACUUACCUUUUAGCCUCUGUGGCACCUUCUUGUCACAGAGGACGCCAGAAGCCUGCUGCCACUUCAACCAACCGGCUGAAAUUCUAUGCCUAACACUCCUUGAAAUCCUACAAUGACAUCAUGUAAAUAAAAAUGUUCGAUUAGCUAUGUGAUAAGACAUACCUACAUUUUGUGGUUUAUUUUAUUUGAUCCAAAAUGUAAGUCGUUGAAGGUUGUCAAAAUUUGUUUAGUUUAACCAUAAUAAGUGUAUAAAGGAUCAAUAAACGGGCAUAAGGUCAGUGUUACUAUAUCCAUCAUGACAACUAUGUUUCAUAAUAUAUAUAACUCUUUUUAUUUAAUAAUUUUUAAUUUAUUGAAAUCACUAUUGGAUGUGUCACCUUUGAGGCCACGCCAAGGCCCUAAAUAACUUAUAUUCAGGUGAAGUAUCUCUUAAUUGCUUCAAGUUUGAUUAACGAAGAGUUGAGAGGAUGUUGGAAUGGGUUGGGCAUUGGAAAUGUGAACUCAAGAUUUGUGUGUUAGUUAAGAAUGUCAACUCUAUUUCCUGCUUUUGAAAUGUAUCCUAGUCUAUUUUACAAAUGGUUCAUAUGCUAAUGCCAAUAAUUAUGCAGAGAAACAACAGAAGAUUUGAUGCUUGUCAUGGGAGCUCUUUAUGCGGCAUGCCUGUUUCUUGGUGUAAAUAAUGCAUCAUCUGUGCAGCCUGUGGUGUCCACUGAGAGGACAGUCUACUACAGGGAACGGGCUGCUAGAAUGUACUCAUCGUUCCCGUAUGCAGCUGCUCAGGUUCGUUGGCUUUUGCUCAUGUCAAUUUUGGUUGUCCCUAUAGAUCCCAGUGUCUAACAAUGCUUGAAAUCAACAGGGUCUUGUAGAGAUUCCUUACAUUGCAGUUCAGACACUUAUAUUUGGCCUCAUCACUUACUUCAUGAUCAAUUAUGAGAGGAACAUAGGCAAGUUACUUGUCAUCCAGGAAAACCAUUCUUCAGUGAAGGACUUCAUGUGAUUUUGCUUCCUGCGUGUUUUCUGUACUGUUUGUAACCUAAUAAAGUCAAACCUUUAAUUGCAGGAAAAUUGCUUUUAUACCUUGUUUUCAUGUUCCUUACUUUCACCUACUUCACUUUCUACGGAAUGGUGGCAGUAGGCUUGACCCCAACCCAACAAAUGGCAGCAGUAGUAUCGUCAGCGUUUUACUCCUUGUGGAAUCUUCUCUCUGGGUUCCUCAUCCCCCAAUCUGUAAGUUACUGAAGUAUUAACAUCAUCAUGCUUUGAAUUGUUAUUUAAGCUUUUAAACUAUUAAAUCUGACUCAAUAAAUUUCUGCAUUCCUAAGAGGUUGCUUUUUAACUUUGUACACACUAAGAAUUUGUUUGUAGAAUAAAAUCUAAGAUUUCUGACCCCACAAACACUGGUUGUGUUGAAAGUUAAUAGUUUAAAAUCUUAACCUACCGCCAUAGGUAACCUAUUUUUUCAAUGUUAGUUUGUAUGGUGUAUCCAUCUUCAUCGGUCAAUGCAGUAAAUAAGAGAAUCCUUCAGUUCAAUGUUUAUCAGUUCCUCUUUUCUAUUGACAUUCAUGCAGAGAAUCCCAUGUUGGUGGAUCUGGUUCUAUUACAUCUGCCCAGUGGCAUGGACCCUGAGAGGUAUCAUUACGUCGCAGUUGGGCGAUGUGCAAACAAGGAUAGUUGGCCCUGGUUUCGAUGGGACUGUGCAGGAAUUCCUGGAGGAAAGCUUGGGAUUCAAACAGGGGAUGGCUGGUGCCACAGUUGCAGUGCUCGCUUGCUUCUCUCUUUUCUUCUUUGCCAUAUAUGCGAUUUCCAUCAAGGUUAUAAACUUCCAGAGAAGAUAAAUCAGCAUAUAUUUAUGCAUUUGCAACUUAGGCGUCCUGCAUCACUUGGUGGUGCCAACACUAUAUGAAGCACCCACGUUAUAACACGUUUUGCAAGGGUCAGAGAGGAUUGAAAACAGCCAACACUUGAAACUGUAUUGUUUGGUAUAUUCUUGUCAUAAGCUGCACUAUUUGUAUAUACUGCACUAAAUCCUCUAUCUGUGCACUUAGCAACGAACACAAUAACUAAAGGGUGUUUGAAUCCAUAUGCUAGUGUCUUAAAAUUCUAAAGUUUAGCACUAUCGUGCUGAUAGGGUGGGCUAACUUCAGUCAAAAUUUAAAUACUUUAGCUAAAAGUAUAAGUACAAGUGGUAAUAUAGCUAAAGAAUAAAAUAGAUGCUAAAAUUUAUUACUCAAUUUAGCUCAUCCAAACAGACUCUUAUUCUUCAUAAUAAAAACUAUAUUUAUAUAUUGUGGCUGGUUGGACCAAGUCACAACUGUAACAUGCUUUGCGCGACGCACUUCCUGCAUACACGAAUACACGCAUACACGCACUUCCUGCAACACGCUUUGCACGACGCACUUCUUGCAUAGAGUACCUCCUGUCACUGCUGGUAUCCACAACAAUACUCUACUUUACAGCCAAUCUCUACUACCGGUCUCCUCACAGCCAAUCUCUACAAGUGUGUCGACAAGACAAAACUAAAGGUAUGUUUGGUUUGCAAGACUAAAUUUUAGUCCCGUUUAGUCCUGUCGUAUCGGAUGUUUGGAUAAUUAAAAGUAUUAAAUAUAGUUUAAUUAAAAAUUUAAUUGCACAAAUGGAGGUUAAUUCACGAGGCAGAUCCAUUAAACAUAAUUAGCCCAUGAUUUGACUGAAUUAGCAUCAGUUUAUGCAAUUAGUUUUAUAAUUAGUUUUAUUGUUGGUUCUAUUUAAUACCUCUAUUUGGUAUGCAAAAAAUUAGUCCUAAAUCCCAACGUCCCUAAAGCAAAAACUAGUAGAAUACGUCGUGCUGCACAUGCACCGACGCAGCAAUGCAAGGUGACACUGUACGCUACCCAACAUCGACCAACAGCAGUCGUCGUCAUCGAUCAGUGGGUGAAGGUGUAGAAGACGGUGCCGACGUAGACGGCAAGAGCGGUGGUGACGAGCCCCACGAGCCCCGCGGCGGCCUUGGCGGCGGCGCGGUUGCUGGCGCAGCCCAGCGUGCCGAGCUGGAUCUGCACGACCAUCACCACGCCAUCAGGAACACGCACCCGACCACGGACCCCACGCGCGGAGGCCAGCAUCCCGAGCCGGAGCACGCGGGCGUCGAUGUGGGCACGUAUCGUCGUGCGGGUCCUUGGAAUUGAUGAGGUUCAGCGCCAGCUUCAGGCCCUGCGCCACCAGGCUGGAGAAGAGGAAGGACAAGAAGGCCACCACCUCCAGCACCAGCAGGGACCGGGCCAUCCCGGGCCCGGCGUCGCAGGACGGGUCGCCGGCGAGGCUCUGCAGCUGCCCCGGGGUCGCCAGGGAGCCCCACGAACACGGCCACCGUGAAGAGCGAGUUCACGUUCACCACGCCGUCCAGCGCCGUCACGUGCACGCUCGUAGUGUUCGCCGACAGCGCCGCCGGGAACUUCCACUCGUAACCGUGGUGGUGGUGGCCGCUGCCGCCAUUGCCGUUGCUGUGCUCAUCAGAUCUGAGAUAGAGACAACAAAAUAUUGAGUUCUUGAUCCAUGAGCUGCCGGACGGGAGAAUGGGGAAGGGGAGCACAAGGUUUGGGGAAAAACUAGAAAACUUGGGGCGCGCUAGGUUGUGCUGCCUAGCGGAGCCACCUGGCAAUGUAUGUAUAUUAUUUAUACUAAGUUCUGCUUUACUACAGCGAUAAAGUAACUUUUGCAACCUUCGUACUCAUAUUGUUUUUAAACUAAGUUGUAGAAAAGUCGGAAGUUGUGUUUGGCCACUUCUACCCCGCCGAUCCGGUGCGGAGGAGGAGUAGGUCGAUGGUGUCCUUAAGCAAAACUUCAUUAGUUUAUCAUGAUGAUCAAGUUAUUCGCUGCGCAAUCGUUUCUUUUGGGAUAUCAUGUUAAAUCCCUUUUAAUGCUAAUUGUGAGCCCAAGGCUUGUAAAUUGUUGUUGAAUCUUUAAUUUCAGAUUUGAAUGCUCCUAUGUUGAACUUGUAAUGUUUAAUUGUCGAACCUUUGAAAUGCUUAAAAUAGCUUUUUGUGGUUCGUCGGCAAUAUAUGCAUGCUCUCGGAUGAGUGUGUGUCAUCUUAAUGAUAAUGACCGGCGGUUCGCCUAAAAUGGUAUCAAAUUGGACGGUUCUUACAACGGAUAUCAGAGCCGAGGUUCCAUGAAGUGGACUUGAAAUUUUCUUAGUGGGUUGAGAGCGAAAUAAAAAUUGAGUACUUGCACUAAUAUUUAUUUCUUGCUAAAAGUUGAAUCUAAGGAUUAAUUGCUAACCUUCUUCCUUUGUCUUAGAGCUAUUUUCUCUCUAUUGCUUCAUUUGAUUAAUUAAAUGUGCUUAACCCCUCUUGUCUUCACAAAUAGAUGGCUUUGAUCGUGGUGACCCGCACUCCGGAGACGAUUGGAUUCCUGGUGCUCCUCAACGAGAUGUUGAGGCGGACGCACUACACCUUCCGGCCUGAGUAUGCGGUCUAUGCUCAUGGCUAUGGAGUCGGCAGGGUCGACUACAUCGCAACUCUUCACCUUGAAGCAAGGAUGGUGGUUGGAUUGGAGGCCUACGACUUCCAAGCAAGAGGUACCUCUCCGGAGAUGGCCAUCCAAGAGGUGGCACGGGACACUUGACUCCACUAUGAGCACCGGGAGCUAUGGGAGGAUCCCUUCACUUACCUUCCGACGAAGGGACCCGAGGAGCCCUUUUGGACGUUACGUCUCACCACCGGUGGGGCCAUUCACUUUGGAGAGGUGCAUGGCGGAAACCACUUCCGACUAUGAGUGGGCACAUCGGAGCUUGCUUUGGGAGUUGGAGGAGACAAGAAGGCACCUUUACAAUCUUCAAAUUCGCGUGGAGCUAUACACAAGGAUGAGAAGGUGCUAAGGAAGUUGAUGAGUUGCCCAAUAGGAAGCGCCUCCUUCUCAUCACUUUCCGCACAUGGUGGGUGCAUGGGCCGAGGCAAGGCAAACGUACAAUCCCAUUUCGAUGGGGUUGCACAUGCGCCGGUUCCAUGUUAAGUCCACCGCUCGUGAGUCUCUUUUGGGGGCUCCGGAGCCUUUCGACCCUUGAGUUAUCUACCGUUUUGUGAGAGGGAGAGUUGCCCAUUAUCUCUAAGUGCUAGUAGGAGGGUCGUAGCACUUCGGGUAAUGUGGUUGUAUCGGGGGAAGUAAGCGUUAAGAUGUUAAAACGUGCCCAUUGUGUGUUGGUUAACCUUGUUGAAUGCUUGUGGGUUAAUUUAAAUCGGUCUCAUUGUUAUCGUUAUGCUUGAUGUUCCUAGUUGUAGUUUUAUUUGUGCAAGUUAAUCUUGUUUUAUUUCUUGCAUGCUUGCUGAAUUUUUUCUUUAUUGUGGCUUAUUAUUCUGUGAAAGAGGAGAUGAAAGAUUUGUUCUUGUUUGUUUUGUAAUUAGAACAAACAUAAACUAAUUGGAUAGAAAAGGAGCGGAAAAAGAUUUAGACUCCCUUUCUUUCCAAGGUUUGUAUUAUGCAACACCUUGUUCUGACCAUAUUGCACUAUGUAUCAUCAUUUGAUAAACCGAGAAAUGCUUUUUUUCUCUAAUUCAAGUAGAAAUACAAAUGGAAAAAUUCGAAGGGUAUUCAGAAAAAUAGAAAUCUCGUCAACAAUACUUCGUCUACCCACUUCUCUUUUAGGAAUAUAUUUAUGCAUUUGCCCAUGAUUAUGGAUUAAAUGGUGCCGAGCCUGUGGAAAUUUUUGGUUGUAAUAACAAGAAAUUUAGUUCACUACUUGCGACACGUUUAAUUUUUCGAACCUAACCAAGAUCGGUUGUUGGAUCACAGCAAUUAUUUUUAUUUAGAGUUUUAUUCUCAGAUUCUAUCUGAGGGGUUUGCGAUCAUUGUAGAAAUCCCACUUUCGCUAGGGCAACCAUCUUGUUUGGAAGACAAAUUUUUACAUUUACAUUAUCUAUCACAUAUCCUAUCCAUUUAGAAAUCCUGGUUCAACUCCUUGAAUACCGGAUUCAAGAUGUUCCAUCUUUGCAUUUAUUGCGAUUCUUUCUCAACUAUUAUUCGAAUUGGAAUAGUCUUAUUACUUCAAUGAAAUCUUAUUUUCUUUUUAAAAAAGAAAAUAAAAGACUAUUUCGAUUCCUAUAUAACUCUUAUGUAUCAGAAUAUGAAUUUUUCUUAUUAUUUCUUCGUAAACAAUCUUCUUGCUUACGAUUAACAUCUUCUGGAACCUUUCUGGAACGAGUCCACUUUUCUGGGAAGAUGGAACAUUUUUGGGUAAUUUCUGAAAACCAUAUGGUUCUUUAUGGAUCCUCUUAUACAUUAUGUUCGAUAUCAAGGAAAGCCAAUUCUUGCAUCAAAAGGAACUCUUCUUUUGAAGAAGAAAUGGAAAUCUUACCUUGUCAAUUUCUCGCAAUAUUUUUUAUCUUUUUGGACUCAACCACAAAGGAUUCGCCUAAACCAAUUAACAAACUCUUGCUUCGAUUUCUUGGGGUACCUUCCAAGUGUACCAAUAAAUACUUUGUUAGUAAGGAAUCAAAUGCUGGAGAAUUCUUUUCUAAUAGAUACUCGAAUGAAAAAAUUCGAUACCAUAGUCCCUGCUACUUCCCUCGUUGGAUCCUUAUCAAAAGCUCAAUUUCGUACUGGAUUAGGGCAUCCUAUUAGUAAACCCAUUUGGACCGAUUUAUCAGAUUGGGAUAUUCUUAAUCAUUUUGGUCGGAUAUGUAGAAAUCUUUUUCAUUAUCAUAGUGGAUAUUCGAAAAAACGGAUUUUGUAUCGACUAAAAUAUAUACUUCGACUUUCAUGUGCUAGAACUUUAGCUCGUAAACAUAAAAGUACGGUACGAACUUUUAUGCAACGAUUGGGUUUGGUAUUUUUAGAAGAAUUUUUUAUGGAAGAAGAGCAAGUUUUUUGUUUGAUGUUCACCAAAACAACUCGCUUUCCUUUCAAUGUCACACAGUGAGCGUAUUUGGUAUUUGGAUAUUAUCUGUAUCAAUGACCUGGUGAAUCCUCUUACUCUUAAUUAAUUAUUAGACAAAACUCGUAAACUAGAAAAGAUCGAUAUCAAGAUAAAACUUGCACAUUUUCCAUUCUGAAAUGUUCCAUAGUAGGUGAAUCAAUUUACUAAUUAAAUAAAAAAAUUAGUGGUCUUCCUCUUCGCAAUAGAAAUUGGCUAUUUCUACAUAGGGAAAGUCGUGUGCAAUGAAAAAUGCAAGCACGAUUUGGGGAGGGUUUUUUUAUUGUAACAAGGAAGAAUUAUCUACUCCAUCCGACUAGUUCCAGGUUCGAGUCUCGGGCAACCCAUAUGCAAAAUAGAAAAGAGUAAUCUGAGUUUUGAAUUUUUACUCACUUCAUUUCCAAAAUUUUGGUAAAUGGAGUUAUAUGGAAAUCCAAUCGUUGAGGCCGGUUUGGUUGACAUUGGUAUAUAGGCUAUGAUGUACUGGAAAAUACAAUGUUUUUAUUAUUUGACCAACCAUCAGGAGAAGCAAAUACAAGGGAUACACUAAUUACUAAGACUGAGGAAGUCGCAAUUAAUGCAAAAACAGCUAAUUGGGAAGCAAUAGUCAUAUUUAAAAUCCUCCAAACUACCUUCAAAUAAAGUUGACUACAUAUUUCUAUUUGAUCCCUCACUUAAUCAAAAUUGUACGAAAAUACAAGAAGUAGGAGGGGUUUAAUCAUGAAUCCAUUGAUUCUUCUCUUUAAAACUUUUUCCUUACCGCUUUUAUUUGGAUAUAGAGUUGAGGGGAUUUAGCCUUUAUUUCACAAACGGAUAUAGCGGUUUCUGUAUCCGUGUAUACAGUAUACAGAGAUAUAUCGAAAGUAGACUUGCAUCUGAGAUGUUUCUAGGAGCUAGUAGAUCAUUUCAUAUAGCUAUGUUCUAUUUGUAGGAAUAAAAUAGGGAUUGGGCUGUGGAGAGAUGGCUGAGUGGUUGAUAGCCUCGGUCUUGAAAACCGGUAUAGUUCUAGGAACUAUCGAGGGUUCGAAUCCCUCUCUCUCCUUUUGUUUAUUGAAUACAUUUGUUUCUUUUUAUGGUUUUUUUUUGUUCUGCCCCCUUAUAUCAUUCUUUCAUAAAAAAAGCAUGAAUGGCUCGGCUAGAUGGAAUAACCGAGCCAGAAUAGAAAAAAAGUGGAACAGGUAGAAAUAAAAAAAUCUUAGUUAAGAGGGGUCAUUUAAAGAACAGGUUCCAAAUCACGAUCAAUUCCCUUUUCAAAGCCUGCUGCAGCAGCUCGGGCUCUUCCUGCAUGCCACAAAUGGCCCACAAAAAAGAAGAAUCCUGGAACAAAAUGGGAAGUCGCUAACCAACUUCUAGGAGAGACAUAAUUAACUGCAUUGAUCUCGGUAGCUACGCCACCCACGGAAUUUAAAGAGCCUAAAGGAGCAUGGGUCAUAUAUUCUGCCGAACGUCGUUCUUGCCAAGGUUGGAUGUCUUUUUUCAACCUACUCAAGUCCAAACUGUUAGGGCCCCUUAGAGGUUCUAACCACGGAGCACGAAGGUCCCAAAAACGCAUAGUUUCCCCUCCAAAAAUAACCUCUCCUGUUGGGGAACGCAUUAGAUAUUUACCUAAACCUGUCGGUCCUUGGGCAGACCCUACAUUAGCUCCAAGACGCUGGUCUCUAACUAGAAAAGUAAAUGCUUGAGCUUGAGAAGCUUCUGGCCCAGUGGGUCCGUAAAACUCACUUGGAUAAGUGGUAUUAUUGAACCAGACAAAACAACAAGCGAUAAAACCAAAAACAGAUAAAGCACCUAAACUAUAAGACAAGUAAGCUUCGCCAGACCAUACAAACGCACGGCGAGCCCAUGCAAAGGGCUUGGUUAAGAUAUGCCAAAUUCCGCCAAGUACACAAAUGGAACCCAACCAUACAUGUCCCCCAAUUAUAUCUUCUAAAUCAUCCACACUAACAAUCCAUCCUUCUCCCCCAAAAGGGGAUUUUAGUAAAUAACCAAAUAUAACACCGGGGCUAAGGGUCAAAUUGGUAAUUUUUCUUACAUCCCCCCGGGGGCCCAGGUAUCAUAUACGCCGCCAAAAUAAAGAGCCUUGAGUACUAGAAGAAAAGCACCUAGACCUAACAAAAUUAAGUGAAUACCCAAAAUUGUAGUCAUUUUAUUUCUAUCUUUCCAUACAUAACCAAAGAAUGGAAAAGAUUCUUCAAGAGUCUCGGGUCCCAGAAGCACGUGAUAAAUGCCACCGAAGCCUAAGACUGCGGAGGAAAUUAGGUGAAGUACUCCAGAUACAAAGUAAGGAAAAGUAUCUAGAACUUCUCCCCCCGGCCCUACUGCCCAACCCAGAGUAGCUAAGUGCGGAAGUAAAAUCAACCCUUGUUCAUACGGGCUUUUCUGGUACGAAAUGGGCCACUUCAAAUAGGUUCAUUGCUCCGGCCCAGAAUACGAUUAAUCCGGCAUGGGCUACAUGAGCUCCAAGUAGUUUACUGGACAAAUUGAUAAGUCUGGCAUUCCCUGCCCACCAAGCAAAGCCGGUGGUUUCCUGGUCACGACCAGCUAAAAUGAAAGUUCCAUUAAAGAGCGUUUCCACGUGCUAGAACCUCCUCAGGGAAUAUAAGAUUUUCAUGAGGCUGAUACUGAAGCUGCCAUCCACGCAUGAAUACCCUCGUUUAAAAGAAUAGUUUUGGUGUAGAAAGUCUCAAAUUCAGGAUCUUCCGCUGCACGGAUUUCCUGGGAAAUGAAGUCAUAGGCACAUAGGUUUAGAGCCAGGCCAACUACGCCAAUAGCACUCAUCCAUAAACCGGUGACGGGUACAAAUAGCAUAAAGAAAUGUAACCAACGUUUAUUGGAAAAAGCAACACCAAAGAUUUGGGACCAAAAGCGGUUAGCAGUGACCAUUGAAUAAGUUUCUUCAGCUUGAGUUGAGUUAAAAGCGCGGAAGGUAUUUGCACCAUCACCAUCUUCGAAUAGAGUGUUUUCUACGGUAGCCCCAUGGAUAGCGCAUAGCAGAGCUGCGCCUAAUACUCCGGCAACUCCCAUCAUAUGAAAUGGGUUCAACGUCCAAUUAUGAAAUCCUUGGAAGAAAAGGAUAAAUCGAAAUAUAGCUGCUACGCCAAAACUCGGCGCAAAGAACCAACUAGAUUGUCCCAGUGGAUAAAUAAGGAAUACGGAAACAAAAACUGCGAUUGGACCAGAGAAUGAAAUUGCAUUAUAAGGCCGCAAUUGAACAGACCGAGCAAGUUCAAAUUGACGUAACAUGAAACCUAUUAGUGCAAAAGCCCCAUGGAGAGCGACAAAAGUCCACAGACCACCUAAUUGACACCAACGAGUGAAAUCUCCUUGUGCUUCCGGGCCCCAUAGUAGCAACAAAGAGUGUGCUAAAAUAUUGGCAGGAGUGGAAACCGCCACGGUUAAGAAAUUGCAACCUUCCAAAUAGGAACUAGCCAAUCCAUGGGUAUACCAAGAAGAUACAAAAGUAGUCCCUGUAAAGCAACCCCCUAAAGCGAAAUAAGCACAAGGAAAGAGCAAUAGGCCGGACCAUCCUACAAAAACGAAAUGGUCACUUCGUAACCAGUCGUCCAUAAUAUCAAAUAGAUCAUUUUCUUCUUUAGUAACUCUACCAAGGGCUAUAGUCAUAGUGAUCCUCCUAUUCAAUUACUUCAACCAUUUUCGAGCACCUCAUAUUACUUCCAGGGCAUACGAUAGUUUGAUUAUCUGUGGACGAUUUCUUUCUCGUUCAAUGCCCUUUUUCAAUGGUCUCGAAGAUAGAAAUUUUGCAUUUUUAUCUAUGGGGUCACAACCAAGGUCGUGGUAAAUCCACAAAUUUCAUUCAAUUUAUUUUUCUUUUCUUAUACUAUAGAAAUAAAAAAAAUAAACAUUUGAAUUCAGCAUUAUUCCAUGAUUCCUAUUUCAAAUCCUAUCUUUUAAGGGAAAAAUAACCCCUCUUUUCUCAUUCGCUCUCUAUUGCAUGGGUGGAAGAACAAAAAUAGGAUUAUGAAAAAAAGAAAGAUAUUGAAAAGAUAAAUUGACUUUUGAAACCCUUUUUAUGUGUAACGGAAAAGAGUUGCGAUUUCUUCUUAUUCCUAUAGAACGUCUAGUAACAAGAAUAUGAAAUCGUAAAUAGCAAAAAAUUCUUGCCUUGCCCGAUCUAAGUCUAAGGAAAUACAAAAAACCCGCUUAUACACCAAUUUGAUCCACAUCGAAUUUAUAUAUCAGAAUAGCGGAUAGAGGCAUUAUUCAAGGGGUCAGGUCUACUUACUUUAUCUUUCUUUCUAAUUUUAUUGUGGGUUUGAUAAGAACCUUUUUUUGCUUUGUGGAUAAAUAAUCGAAAAAAGAGUUUUUUUUAUAACCUACUUGUUUUAUUCUAACAAAUCCUAUAUGGAACUGCCCGCUGAAGAGAAAAUUUAUGUGAUUGUCUGUCAUCUCAGCCCAGCCUAUAUCGAAUUUAGGAAAGAAAAAACAAGAAUUUUCUUCUUUUUUUAUUAACAUUAAGAAAAAAGAAUGUAAUUAAAAUGGAAUUGGCAUUAUAAUUUUUAUGCACUUUUGAAAUGAAAGAAAAAGGAAGGAUUUUUUGCAAUCGUUAUUUCUUGCCUCUGUCAUAUCACGAAAACCUUUCGAUUUGGAACGGGGAGAGAUGGCUGAGUGGACUAAAGCGGCGGAUUGCUAAUCUGUUGUACAAUUUUUUUGUACCGAGGGUUCGAAUCCCUCUCUUUCCUUCCCCUCGGAUCAUUUGGGACUUACGAAUUGUAAGGAAUUCUGACCCCCGGAUUUUCUCAUAGAUAAAUGUAUGAAAUAAAUCCAAUUUGUAAGAAAAAAUUCCCAAAAUUUUUGGAUUUUUACUCCUCACGCCCAGGAUUACGUCCUGGGUCAUUAGAUAAGAAUCCAAAGAUAAAGAGGGAAACAAAGAAUAUCACUACUGUAUAAACAAAAAGUUUGAGAGUAAGCAUUACAUAAUCUCCAAGAUUUUUUUGUUAAGGAACAGAUUACCCAUUUUUCCUUACCACAUAGAUCCACUAGGAUGGGUUUUGUUUAUUUUGACACCUAAAAAUGCAAAAAUCAAUUCUUAAAAAAAUUGCAAGAAUUGCUUUAUAAUAAGCACUCUUAUCAAUAUCAAAAAUUAGUUUAGGUAUUGUGUGGGUACCUAAAGGUACCUGUUCAACGCAGCCGCAGGGGAUAGAAAGGCGGAUCUAAAUUUAUUGCUGCAGCUAUACAUUCAAUGUAGAAGAAUUUUAAUUUUAGAAUCGAAGGUUCAUAAUAUAAGACUUCUUGGCUCUUAUCCAUUUUUUUUUUGAAUGAAUACAUUGGCAGACAGAGAUAGUAAAGAUUUCAUCGAAAACUUACAGCGGCUUGCCAAACAAACGCUAAUAGAAAAAAGAGUACAGCUAUGACAGGCAUAACAUCCACAAUUGGGUUAAGCUUCGGGUAAUUUGGUGAAGAAAAAGCUAGUCGGACAAAGAACAGGAUUAAAACAGAUACAGGUUAAACUAAGUAUAUUAGGCAUAACAAGCAUUUUGUUCUUGUAGAGUAGAUAAUUGGAUUUUGAUUGAGUUAUUUUUCUAAGGGAAAAAAGCAAAAGAAAGGGUGGAUUCAAUCCUUUUUUCUUCGGACUUUCCCAAACACAAAAUACCUCCUUGUAUUCGCAUUCUCAAAUGAGAAUGGAAGAAAUUUGACUUUCAUAUAAUAUCUUAAUAGAAUUCCAUGUAAUGAUCAAUGCAUUUUUUGGAUUCUAUAUUAUCCGCUGUAAGGAUCGAUGGACCAAGAGGGGGGGUGAAUUGGGCCUUUUUCAAUUUCUAAAGCAAAGUAAAGCAACCUUAACCUAUGCAAUGCUAGUAAGGCACCAAUUCACCAACCGGAUAACUUAGCUACCUACACAAGCUAGGAGAGAUAAAAAGAGAAGCAAAGCCUAGCAAGGUAGAGCAAAGAUAUGAUCUCUAAGUCAAGCACAUGAAUAAAUUGCAUGAAAGAAAAUGCUUGAAUAAAGAGAGUGGACAAAAAACGAUCGGAUUUUUCCCGUGGUAUCGAUGUGUUGGCACACACCCCUAAUCCACGUUGUGACACUCACAAAGAGUCUUAUCACCUCCCAAGUCACCGAGACGAGGGCGCUCACUAAGAGUCUCCGUUCACCAUCCCGGCGUGGUGGAGAUCAAGCCACGUACAAACUUCUUCUCCGGGCUCCCACAAUCCUUGGCAAGCUCCGCGAGAAACACCUCGAUCACCAAGAUCGCCUAGGUGAUGCCAAUCACCAAGAGUAACAAGCUAAGGCCUUCACUUGAGUAAGAACCGAUCACCAAGAACGGAUGCACACAAGCUUCUCUCUACUCAAGUCCUUAAUCUUGCUUCUUGAUUGAUUGAAUGAACAAGUAUGUGAAAUGAUGAAGCUCAAGGUGGCUCUUGACUAUAGUAUGAGUGUUUCGAUGUUGCCUGGUGUCAAGAGUAGCAAAAUGAUCCAUUGGAGGGGUAUAUAUAGGCAGCUCACACGAAUAGAGCCGUUGGAGAAAAGCUGCCAGAAAACUGCGUAGCGCCGGUUAAUCCGACGUACCUCCAAUAGUCAUCGUCGGUUUAACCGAUGAAUGUAAACUGCCCCUUCUGAAAACUAGCCGUUACAACUUGGGCAGAUUAACCGACUUAUCAUUGGUUUAACCGGUGAGUAUAGUUGUCCACUGAUCAACUGAAAACCAAGUCUCUGGACAACUGCACCGACGUUAACUCAAACCUGUCGUCGGUUUAACCGGUGUAUAGAGCUUGAAAUACCCUGGAAAAACCAACUCUGGACUAAUGCACCGACGUUAAAUUCAAACACGUCGGUUUAACCGGUGUAUUGACUUGUCCAGACUCUGGUGACUUCGUUUAACUGACGUAUAGAAAUUUGAGAUCGUCGGUUAAACCGGUGUUAAAGAUUUUUUCUGAUUUUGCCUUUUCUGAUUUGAGUCUUGAAUGAAAUCCAAAUAUUCUUGAGAUAUGAGUUGGAAACCACUUAUUUGAACUUCUAGAAACCUGAGUGACCAUUGUGUGCAUCCAUUUUCAAAUGACCAUGUCCAUGCUCAAGUUACUUAGCCUUAACCCCUCUUAAUAGUGCGAUCACUACAAUACUAUAAAACCUAUACUAACCUAAGUGUCCUUCUCAACCUUAUGACACUUAGGACUAGAAAGAUCCUUAGUCUUGACAUAUAAUUGAGUUGAAUGCCGAGAUCGCUUUUUUGAAUAACGAAAGUUAGGGGCCUCUUUUGACAUAUGACCAAAUGAGCGAUAAUGAUCUAUUAAGCUGCACAAACUCAUUAGUCACAAUAAUGGUUAUCAUUAAUCACCGAAACAUACCUUGAGGGCCUAGAUGCUUACAAUCUCCCCCUUUUUGGUGAUUGAUGAUAACACAAACAUAAAUAACGAGAGAGCGAGAAAGAUAAGGCAAGAAUAAACACAAGCAAACUCGGAAUCCAUAGAUAUGUCUCAAACCACAGCAUACUCAAGCGACAAAUGUACAUAUCCAUGAACUAACACCAAAUGUGAUACAAAACAUCAAAGUCUUGAUAACAUCAAAGUCCUGAUAACUAUGAGCUCUCUCUAACUCUACCCUCCCCCUGACUCCAACUCCCUCUCCCCCUUUGGCAUCAAAGCACAAAAAGAGGCGAGCUACUGAUCCGGCUGUCGCGGUACGGCGAGAAAACGGUCCGGGUCAUCGUCGUCGUCGUCGGACGGUGUAUCCUCGGUGACGGACGGGAGCUGCUGGUCAGAACUGCCUGCUGGAGCUGAACUGACUGGGGGUGUAGCUGUCGUCAAGGCUCUCGUGCUGGCACUGCCAGGAAGAGGGUCCAUGGAAGUAGUAACCGGCUCAGCAGAAGAUGUGUCAACAUCUGAAGUAGUAAGUGCUGAAGCUGCUGGCUGUGUCGACUGCUAAAGCAAGGAACCCUCUCCACCUCCCCCUGAAGGUAGUGGCUAUGGUACGACGGGGAGGGCGACUGUCUGCACUGCUGAAGGAGACUCCUGGAAGAGUGAAGUCGCUGGCAGUGGUGAGAAGAAUGGACGACCCGCAGACCCAAGUAGUGCGGACAUCGAGAACAUGGUCUCCGGUGUCGCUGAGGUAGCUGGAGCUGCAGUAGGGGCUGGAGCUGGUGUAACAGCAAGCGGAGGUGCUCCAACACCCUGAAGGCCUGGCUGUCCUGGCUGCUGCGGGGCGAGUCCGGUGUGAGAGUAAAGCUGUGAGAUCAUCCCGAACAUCGCCAUCAUGCCCUGCUGCAUCUGCUGGAACUGAGCGUCUAUCCUCUGAGAGACCUAUCAAUAAGCCCGACAAAACGCUCCUCGGUCGCAGCCCGCUCUCGGGCGGCCUCCCUCUGUAUAGCAGCAAGUUGAGCCUCAUGGGCUCUCCUGGCCUCCUCCUGUGCAAGCUAGUCCUCUCUCUGCUGAGUCACGAGCUGCUGUAGAAGUGCGGUGAGCUCAGACGGCUGAGACACCUGGGACUCAGAGACUGUAGCAGCAACGGCUGACUCUGGAGCUGGCUCUCUGGACCCCCCUGCCUCGUGGUCGUGACUAGCUGGGGCUGCUGCAGGGAAGUAGUCCUCGUCCUUGGAGGAGUCUGACUCAGGCUCAGACCAGUGUAUCUCAUCCUCUCCUCCGGGAAGCUGUGCCUCGGCGGCUAGCAGUGCAUCGUCCUCCUGUGCCACACGAGCCUGUGCCUCUGGUGACAACUGUGCCAUGGCAGCUCUAUCGGCCUAUCUGCCUCUCCUCCGGUCCUGUGGUGCUGUCGGACGGUAAACUAGGAACCAGGGAACCUCGUCCUGACGGUAGACUGCACUGACGGGUGACUCAGCUGGCACGAUCAUAGAACAGAUAUAGCUGAUCCAGUGAGCAUAUGGAAACUGACGCACAACACCCAUCCCAUCAGUGAUAACAUCCUCGAUCUCAGCCAAGAUGAAGUCAACUAUGUCAAACGGCUCGUGAGUGAGGAUGUGUAGAAGCAGGAGUUGCUGCAGUCCUGUGAAACCCUCUGGGUAGCCACUCCUCGGUAGCAAAGUCCUCCGGAGUGCCAUGUGAACUGCGUAUACCUCUGGGGUCAGCAAGCUGGGAACUCUGGUGUAGGAGGCAGGGAACGGCUGGCGGAAACACUGUGAGAUCGCCUCGUGAGAAGGUGCAAUCCCGCCAAUCAUGGCUCUGCGCGGUGGAUCUGCAUCUCCGUAAACCAUCUCGUGCUGGGAGACGUCAACCAAGUCAACUCCGAGAAUCCCUGCUAAUGUAGCCUUGGACAGACCAAAGACCUGGCCUCCAAACAUAAAGUGUACUGCUCUACGCUCUGGGGCUAUCCAGGCUGUGGCAUAGAAAACUCUGACCCAGUCCUCGAUGUAUCUGUUUCGCUCAAUCUGGAGUAACUUGGGCAGGCCCCUGAAGUGAGCGAAGUGCUCUCUGACGUCUGCUCCCCCUGCGGCUGUCCUCAAAGACACCCAGUCAAGCACUCUGUGCGGGAAGAUCCUGUGGCCCCACCUCUGGUAGGUCUCGUAGAAACUGGCCUGAAGAAGCGUCCAGAACCUACGGUCGACCCUGCUGUCACGUGUCACGGGGAACCAGUCCUCCUCCUGAACACUCCACCUGAGCCUCUUGACCUUCGCCGCAUUGGCCUUGGUCAAGUUCUGGAGCAGCACACCUGGCUCCAGACGCACAACAGUGUCCAUGCGGAACACUGCGCGCUCGGUCUCUAGGGCCUCGGCUCUACGAGCUGCUGCUGCUGCGGACCUGCGAGGCUCCUGUGGCUGGUGACCUCCUCGCGUCCUCGGUCCAGUGCGACGCUCGGUCGCUGGCGAAGUGUCUCCUGCUAGGGACGUCUGCCGAAUGCGGCCAGAACGUCGUAGAGUCGGUGACUCCUAUGUGCCCUGCCCCUGCGACUGCUCAGACUGUUCUGCCUCUGUAUCUGUAUCUGACUCUGCAGCUGAAAGUGAACGAUCUGACUCUGCUGCUGCUGCCUCAGUUGUGGCUCUGGUGGCCCUGGCACCUCUGACUCUGCCCAUACCUCGACCUCUGCCCCUGCCCCUGGCUGGCGUAUCCCUAAUCGCGAACGGGCGAGCACGGCCUGAUGCCUGCUCCUCGGCAGCCUUGGCCACCAUCUCGGCCCUCUCGGCCUCUCUCUCUGCACGAGUCCGCUUGCGAGCGGGCUUCUCGACCACAACCUCCUUCCCCUUCCUCUUCUCACAACCCAUCACGCUCUGCGUGUUGGUGACGACAAUGGCGCAGAAGGCGCAGGCGGCGGCGGCGCGGUGGCGGCUGGGCGCGCGGAGCAACGCAGAAGGUGGCGGCGCGGUGGCGGUUUCACGCAGGCGGGUGUGCGCGCGGGGCGGCGCAGAAGGCGGCGGCGCGCGGGCGGUUGAGAGCAGGCAGCACACGGCGGUGCGCACGGGCGGCACAAGGCGGCGCGGGGCGUAGGCGGCGACGAAGGCGAGGGCGGCGACCAAAGCGCAGGCGGCGACGAAGGCGAGGGCGGCGACGAAGGCGAGGGGGCGGCAGAAGGCGAAGAUGAGCGGGCGGUUGCGAGCGGGCAAGAGAGUUAUAUGACAGGUGGACCCCGCGGAUUUUCUUUUCGCCAGUUGAUCCGAUGCUUAGGGUUCGAACGCCGGUUGAUUGCGUCGGUGUAGUUUACCCGAGACUCCACCAAAUCUGCAUCUGAACGCCGGUUGAACCGAUGAUCCGAUAAAUGAACUCGCCGGUUGAACGACACAAACGCCGGUUGAUUACUGGGUCAGAUCUGUGAUACGUUCACCGGUUGAUCUGAUGCUCCGUAAUUUGUAUACACCGGUUGAACUCCUGGAUUGACUGAGUUGAAGCUGAAACUUAGUAACGCCGGUUAAACCGAUGGGUAAAGAUCCAUUGAGCGUCGGUUUAACCGGUGAAGCCAAAAACCCUCACUCAGCUCACUCUUCUAUGCUAAGUCCAAUAAACUUAUAAAAUUCGAAUUAACUCAAGUUAAUGGACUUGCAUAGGCGACUUUACCCCUCAAAGCAAAUAGGAUAGCUCACUAGCUUAGAUAAUUUUUCUUUUCAAACACAAGGAAAAGCCGCAAGAGAGACAAAACGCCAAAUAAAAUGUAUGAGCCAUGUCAUAGGAAUAUUGAAGAAGGAAAGCUUCAAACUCAUCAUGACAUUGCUCACUAGGCAAUAGCGCACCUAACACUUUACUCUUUUCACUUUUCAUGAAUUAAGAUCUUGUAUAUGAAGCAAGUCUCAUUUUCAUCAAGUGAUCUCCUUUGUGACCCUUACGCAUGCAAUGAUAGUGCAAGCUACAACCACAUGCGGAAGUAAGGCAAACAUGAAGUGCACAUCUAUAUGACAAGAAAUGCAUAGCAAGAAUUUAAAUUCUACUUGUCAAGUUUGAACCCACGGGAAGCUUCUUCAUGAUGAGCCUUUCUACAAGCCUAGAGGAAAACAAGUGGACCACCACCUCUAGCUAUACCCUUGCUCAUCACUAUCUUACCAUGGUUAGACAAGUGUCCUGUAUGUAUGCAUUUUUCUAUAUGACAUGGCAACUUACAUGACGUUUGCCGCAUCUAACACAUUAAGCUCAUUCCUUAGCCUAACAAAAGUACUCUCGUCUAAAGGUUUUGUGAAAAUAUCCGCCAAUUGCUCCUCGGAUCUCACACCUUGAAGGAAAUGUCCCCCUUGGCUUCGUGAUCACGCAAGAAGUGAUGGCGAAUAUCAAUGUGCUUUGUGCGAGAGUGUUGAACCGGAUUCUUGGCAAUUUUUACGGCACUUUCAUUGUCACAAAGGAGUGGUAUCCUAUCUAGUUUCACACCAAAGUGCAAAAGGGUUUGCUUCAUAUAUAGGAUUUGGGCACAACAUGCACCGGCCGCUAUAUAUUCCGCUUCCGCGGUGGACAAAGCCACAGAAUUUUGCUUCUUACUCGACCAAGAAACUAGAGAACGCCCAAGCAAGUGGCAACCCCCAGAGGUACUCUUGCGAUCCACACGGUUUCCGGCAAAAUCCGAAUCCGAGUAUCCCAAGAGAUCUAAGCUAGCGCCUUUGGGGUACCACAAGCCUAUGCUAGGGGUGUGCUUGAGAUACCGAAGGAUCCUAUUCACAGCCGAAAGAUGUGAUUCCUUUGGGUUAGCUUGAAAGCGGGCACACAAGCACACACUAAACAUUAUAUCGGGCCUAGAUGCGGUAAGGUAAAGCAAAGACCCUAUCAUAGAACGAUAGAGGGAUUGAUCAACCGGUUUACCAUCCACAUCCAAGUCGAGAUGCCCAUUGGUUGCCAUGGGUGUCUUGAUGGGCUUGCACUCAUCCAUCUUGAACUUCUUCAAGAUAUCUUUAGUAUACUUUUCUUGAUGGAUGAAUGUCCCUUCCUUCAUUUGUUUGACUUGAAAACCAAGGAAGAAGGUCAAUUCGCCAAUCAUGGACAUCUCAAAUUCCCUAGACAUCAUGGUGGCAAACUCAUGGCUUAGUAAAUCAUUAGUUGAGCCAAAGAUAAUAUCGUCAACAUAAAUUUGACAAAUGAAAAGAUCCCUGUUGACGUCUUUUGUGAACAAAGUGGUGUCCAUCCUCCCGAUCUUGAAGCCUUGCAUGAUUAGGAAGUCACGAAGCCUCUCAUACCAAGCCCUUGGAGCUUGUUUGAGCCCAUAGAGUGCCUUGUGCAACCUAUAAACAUGGUUAGGAUUCCUCGGAUCUUCAAACCCGGGAGGUUGCUCAACAUAAACAAGUUCGUUGAUAACGCCAUUUAAGAAUGCACUUUUCACAUCCAUUUGAUAUAACUUAAUGUUAUGAUGUGAAGAGUAAGCAAGAAGUAUACGGAUAGCUUCAAGUCUUCUGGCCGGAGCAAAAGUUUCACCAAAAUCCAAACCUUCGACUUGAGAAAACCCUUUUGCCACAAGUCUUGCUUUGUUGCGUACCACCACCCCAUGUUCAUCUUGCUUGUUUUGAAAGACCCACUUUGUGCCGAUGAUGUUCUUGUCUUUCGGAGGAGCUUCGAGGACCCAAACUUCAUUGCGGGUGAAAUUGUUCAAUUCUUCUUGCAUGGCCAUCACCCAAUCCGAGUCCUCAAGCGCUUCCUCUAUGCUAGUGGGUUCAAUAUAAGAAACAAAAGAGUGAUGUUCGCAAAAUGAAGCAUGCUUAGAGCGAGUUCUUACUCCUUUGGAAGGACUACCAAUGAUUUGAUCAAUUGGAUGAUCCUUGGAGAUGCGAGCAUGCUUCACUAGCGGUACUUGCGUGGAUGCUUGUUGGGGUGGAUCAUGGGUGACUUGUGCUUGUGGUGGAACAUUUUGCUCUUCUUGUUCUUGGACUUGGGGUGUUGGCGUUGACACAUUUUCUUGAGGUAGUGGAUCAUCUUUUUCUUGAUCUUCAUCCACUUGGGGUGCCGUGGAGGUGCUUGGUGUAGAUGAGGAAGAUCCUCCCCCUUGAUCAUUGCCUUCAUGCACCUCUUCCGGCUUGAUAUCCCCAAUGGACAUAUUCUUCAAGGCUUCAUCAAUCUCUUCACCACCUACAUUUUCAUAGCCAACAACCUCCUCUUGGGAGCCAUUAGAUUCAUCAAACUCCACAUCACAUGUUUCUUCAACUAACCCGGAGGUUUGAUUGAAUACUCUAUAUGCUUUGGAGUUUGAUGCAUAACCAAGAAAGAAACCUUCAUCACAUCUACUCUCAAACUUACCGAGCUUUUUCUUCUUAUAGAUGAAGCAUUUGCAACCAAAGACUCGAAAGUAGGAUAUAUUUGGUUUUCUCCCAGUGAUGAGCUCAUAUGGAGUUUUCUUGAGGAGUCGGUGAGGAUACACUCUGUUGGAUGCAUGACACGCCGUGUUGAUUGCUUCCGCCCAAAACUUCUUGGACGUGCCAUAAUCAUCCAACAUUGCUCUUGCUAGGGUGAUGAGUGUCUUGUUCUUUCUUUCCACCACUCAUUUUGUUGAGGCGUGUAGGUGGCGGAAAACUCAUGCUUGACUCCUUCAUCGCACCAUUCUUCAAUCUUCAUAUUCUUGAACUCGGUGCCGUUGUCACUCCGGAUCUUCACAAUUGGGGAGUUGUACUCCCUUUGAGCUUUUCUAGCAAAUGUCUUGAAGAUCUCCGGAGUUUCACCCUUAUCGCCUAGAAACAUGACCCAAGUGUAGCGUGAAAAAUCAUCAACGAUUACUAGGCAAUAGAGGUUACCACCAAUGCUCUUGUAUGUAGUUGGACCAAAGAGAUCCAUGUGUAGUAGCUCGAGCGGCUUGGAGGUAGACAACAUUGUCUUGAUGGGAUGAUGUGUUGCAACUUGCUUCCCAGCUUGACAUGCUUUGCAUAACUUGUUCUUGUCAAAAGUGAUGUCCUUCAAGCCGGUGAUCAUCCCUCUCUUGUGGGCUUUCUUGAGGUUGCUCAUGCCAAUAUGAGCAAUUCUUCUAUGCCAAAGCCACCCAAGAGACGACUUGGUGAAGAGGCAUGUCAUGGUGCUUAUUUGCUUUGAAGAGAAAUCUACUAAAUAGAUGUUGCCAUGCCUAAACCCCGUGAAUACCAAUGACUUGUCUUUUUCAUGAGUUACUACAACACCAUUCUUGUCAAAGGCACACGUUAGUCCAAGAUCACAUAAUUGAGCAAUAGAAAUAAGAUUAAAACUAAGUGCUUCUACAAACAAGAUAUUUGAAAUGGAUAAAUCUUUUGAAAUUGCUAUUCUACCCAAACCUAAGACUUUCCCCCUUGAGUUAUCACCAUAGGUGACAUGUUCAUGAUCGCCGGGGUCUUCAAGAGAGGUGAACAUGCUAUCAUUGCCGGUCAUGUGUUGAGAGCAACCGCUAUCAAGUACCCAAUGUUUUCCACCGGCUUUGUAGUUCACCUACACACAUGAGAAUUCACUUUUAAGUUUUAGGAACCCAAACAAGCUUUGGGCCUUGCACAUGUGUGACAAGAGCUUUUGGGACCCAAAUUUGCUUGGGGAGCUUCUUCUUUGACUCCUUAGCAAUUUUGCCAAUGAACUUGGCCUUCACCUUGCCCUUCACUUUACUCAAGAGAAAAUGGUUAUUUUGAAACAUUGAUGAGUAAUUCUUGGGUAAAUUAGGAAGAGGACGUGAUGGUAAAGUGCACCCCCUAGUGUGGUGCCCGGUGACUUGGCAAUGUUGGCAAUAUGAACCAACUUCCUUGAUGAAGCUAAUCGUGAUCUCCGGAGAACGAGUAGUAGCCAUGUUUAGCUCCGGAAAUGAACCAAGACCUCUCUUCCCAUAGUCACGAGCAUUGUUGAAGAGAAUCUCCUUGUGGAUGUAUUCUCCUCUUGAGAGUUUCUCCACACUACUCUUGAGGCUUGCCACUUGAUCCAUCAAUUCCUUUUCCCUAGAAGGAGCAAGCUCGGGCACAAUAUUAGUGGCAUUAGCAUUAAUGAGUAGGUCAUCACAUGAAGUAGAAGCAUUGACCUUUUCAAAAGUUUCAUGAGCAAAUUUCUCAAGACUUGGGUCAAUUGCUUCAUAGGCAAAUUCAAGUUCUUGAUACUUGUGAGCCAACUCCCUAUGCUCUUGUUUGAGCCUUUUGUGGCUCUCUUCAACUUGCUUAGCAAGUACAAGUGACUCAUUGUGCUUUUUGAGUAAGUCAUUGUGCUUACCAAGCAAGUCGGAGUGGGCAAGCUCUAACUUGGCAUGAGUGCUCUCAAGAAUUUUAACUUUGCCCUUUUCCCUCUUGAUGACGGAUGUAUACUCAUUAAUGAGGUUAGUGAAUUCAUUAGGAUCAAACUCUUCAUCACUAUCAUCUUCACUAUCUACCUCACAUACCUUGGUGUUACCUUUUGCCAUGAGGCACAUAGGAGGCAGAGGUAGUGGUGGUUCUUCAUUGGUGAGGGCGAUGGUGACGAUGUCUUCUUCAUCACUUGAAUCUUCGCUUGAUGAGACAUCGGUCACCCACUCUUGUUUUUCCACCAAGAAGCUUUUCUUGGUGUGCCCUUUCUUCUUUGGAAAGAGCUUGGUCUUCUUGUCAUGGGUCUUCUUCUUCCCAAGUCUCUUGUUUUUGUUCUUCCUUUCUUCUUCAUCAUCAUCGCUUGAAUCAUGGCGAUGCUUGCUCUUGUUAUCCUUGUUUCUUUUGUUCGGCUUGGGGCAAUUUGGACGGAUGUGACCUUUUUCUCCACAAUUGUAGCAAAUUUUGUUCUUGACAUCCAUUGGUCGGAACAUUCCCUUUUUAGAGUCAAAGUUGAAACCCUUCUUAUUGAUCUUGUCAUUCAAGCGUGUGAACUUUCUCAUCAUGAGAGCAAGUUCUCCAUCAUCUUCAACAUCGGAUGAGCUUUCAUGAUGAUCAUUUUCUUCAUUGCUUGAGCUUGAAUCUUGCUUGAUCAUCUUGAGCUUGCAGGAUUUGUUUAUCUUGGUCUUUAGAGCAAUUGAUUUGCUUGAAUUGGCUCUUCGGACAUACCAAGAAUACUCAUUUCAUGAGCACGAAUUUCCCCCACAAGUUCUCCCACUUCCAUUGUGUCAAGAUUCUCUUUUUGAAGCAUAGCAUUGAUGAUGUUAUACUUGGGCUUCGGGAGGAGCAUGAGAAUCUUGCGAUUUAUGGAGGCACUGUCAAUUUUGGAUAUUUUAAGUGCAUUAGUGUCCUUGACAAUGACAUUCAAGUGAGAAUACAUAUCAUUGCAAUUUUCAUGAGCUAGCAUUUUAAAGGAAUCAUACUUAGCUCUAAACAAGUGAUAUUUUUGCUCACGAACUUUAGUGGAACCUUCAUGAAUUUCAAUGAGCUCCUUCCAAAUAUCACUUGCUAAGUCCAUGCCAUUAACUCUAGCAAAGACUUCCUCACUAAUGGCUUCGAAAAUUGCAUUUCUAGCCUUGGCAUUCCAUUUUAAUUGUUCAGUGGUGGGAGUUUCGGUGAACCCGGUCUUAGUUGCCAACCACACUUCGGGGGCAAUCGCAUCAAGGUAUGCGGCCAUGCGAACUUUCUAAUAAGCAAAGUUCUUGCCCUCGAAGUGAGGCGGCGAACCACCCAUCUUGGCCAUAGCUCUAGACGGUGAAGCCUAAUGAUCCAAAUGAGCAACGAGGUUCUGAUACCAAUUGUAAGGAUCGAUGGACCAAGAGGGGGGUGAAUUGGGCCUUUUUCAAUUUCUAAAGCAAAGUAAAGCAACCUUAACCUAUGCAAUGCUAGUAAGGCACCAAUUCACCAACCGGAUAACUUAGCUACCUACACAAGCUAGGAGAGAUAAAAAGAGAAGUAAAGCCUAGCAAGGUAGAGCAAAGAUAUGAUCUCUAAGUCAAGCACAUGAAUAAAUUGCAUGAAAGAAAAUGCUUGAAUAAAGAGAGUGGACAAAAAACGACCGGAUUUUUCCCAUGGUAUCGAUGUGUUGGCACACACCCCUAAUCCACGUUGUGACACUCACAAAGAGUCUUGUCACCUCCCAAGUCACCGAGACGAGGGCGCUCACUAAGAGUCUCCGUUCACCAUCCCGGCGUGGUGGAGAUCAAGCCACGUACAAACUUCUUCUCCGGGCUCCCACAAUCCUUGGCAAGCUCCGCGAGAAACACCUCGAUCACCAAGAUCGCCUAGGUGAUGCCAAUCACCAAGAGUAACAAGCUAAGGCCUUCACUUGAGCAAGAACCGAUCACCAAGAACGGAUGCACACAAGCUUCUCUCUACUCAAGUCCUUAAUCUUGCUUCUUGAUUGAUUGAAUGAACAAGUAUGUGAAAUGAUGAAGCUCAAGGUGGCUCUUGACUAUAGUAUGAGUGUUUCGAUGUUGCCUGGUGUCAAGAGUAGCAAAAUGACCCAUUGGAGGGGUAUAUAUAGGCAGCUCACACGAAUAGAGCCGUUGGAGAAAAGCUGCCAGAAAACUGCGUAGCGCCGGUUAAUCCGACGUACCUCCAAUAGUCAUCGUCGGUUUAACCGAUGAAUGUAAACUGCCCCUUCUGAAAACUAGCCGUUACAACUUGGGCAGAUUAACCGACUUAUCAUCGGUUUAACCGGUGAGUGUAGUUGUCCACUGAUCAACUGAAAACCAAGUCUUUGGACAACUGCACCGACGUUAACUCAAACCUGUCGUCGGUUUAACCGGUGUAUAGAGCUUGAAAUACCCUGGAAAAACCAACUCUGGACUAAUGCACCGACGUUAAAUUCAAACACGUCGGUUUAACCGGUGUAUUGACUUGUCCAGACUUUGGUGACUUCGUUUAACCGACGUAUAGAAAUUUGAGAUCGUCGGUUAAACCGGUGUUAAAGAUUUUUUCUGAUUUUGCCUUUUCUGAUUUGAGUCUUGAAUGAAAUCCAAAUAUUCUUGAGAUAUGAGUUGGAAACCGCUUAUUUGAACUUCUAGAAACCUGAGUGACCAUUGUGUGCAUCCAUUUUCAAAUGACCAUGUCCAUGCUCAAGUUACUUAGCCUUAACCCCUCUUAAUAGUGCGAUCACUACAAAACUAUAAAACCUAUACUAACCUAAGUGUCCUUCUCAAACUUAUGACACUUAGGACUAGAAAGAUCCUUAGUCUUGACAUAUAAUUGAGUUGAAUGCCGAGAUCGCUUUUUUGAAUAACGAAAGUUAGGGGCCUCUUUUGACAUAUGACCAAAUGAGCGAUAAUGAUCUAUUAAGCUGCACAAACUCAUUAGUCACAAUAAUGGUUGUCAUUAAUCACCGAAACAUACCUUGAGGGCCUAGAUGCUUACAUCCGCAUGUCUAGAAUCCUAGCAAGAAAAUAUCCCUCAUUUUUUAGGUAAUUGAAGUGGGAUUGACGAAUAUUAUGUAAAAAAUAAUACUGUUUAUUAGUGUCGCAUAAAACAAAAUGGGGCGUAGCCAAGUGGUAAGGCAGCGGGUUUUGAUCCCGUUACUUGGAGGUUCGAAUCCUUCCGUCCCAGAUUUUUUCUAAUGAAGCGAAAGAUAGAAUCAUAUUGUGCUCUGCACAACACAAAAAAAAGUUUAUUAAAGAGAAUAUUAUCUCUUAUGAACUCAUAGAUUAGAUGGAUUUCGAAGCAUUCAUUUUCUUUCUCAGAAAAAAAUCAAGUGUCAAGUCCAGUCAAAUUUAAUAUCUUUAUUUUCUUGAUUAAUAAGGUAAAACGCUGUAUAGAAAAUGAGACCUAUCCCUUUAUGAUCGAGAUCUAUUUUUGUUUUGUUGUAUUAUUAGUAGAAAAGAAGGGUCCUUCUUUGGUUAAGCAAAAAUGAUCUCGAUCUGUGAUUCUUUAAAUAUCCAGAAUGAUUCAUUUCGGUAAGGUUAAGGUAAGAACUAUUCGUUGGAUAGAAUGGAUUAAAAAAAAUAGUACUUUUCUUAUUUUUUAUUUUUAGUUCUUUCUUUUACCUAUUUUAGUUUUUUCUUUUACCUAAAAGAAAGAAUGCUAUAAGUAAAAGCAAAGACCUUAAUUUUACUUUACAAAAAAAAAUUCUUUCUUUUGUUAUUCGAGUUGAAGAAGUGUGAGAAUUUUAUAACUACCCCAAAACUACCAAUCUUUUCAUUGACAUAGCUUAUUCGGUUAAUAGUUAAUUGUUUUUGUUAUAGAAAAAUAUAUGAAUUAAUUAAAUUAAUUCAACUGGAGUUUGUGUAACAUCCCAGUUUUCAUCACUAUUGAAAGAAAUGCAAAACAACCCUCUAGUUCCUUCUCCACUAAGCAAGAGUGGGAUAUUUUCAAGGCAACCCUCUAGUUCCUUCUCCACUAAGUAAGAGUGGGAUAUUUUCUAUGGAAUACUCUAGAAUUAGUAAUAAGUAAAAUUUUGAAAAUGCUAGGAUAUUUUGGAAUUCUCUAGAAGGGGGACACUUGUCCUAAAACCAUGGCUUCCCUUGACCUAUAAAAAGAGCCCCCCCCUUUGCCAUGGCAUCCACCCAUGAGCAAGGUAGAUAAGUUGUGGUAAGGCUAGGAGGGUGAGUGCUGGACUAGCCACUUAAAGGUGUGUGUUCCUUCGUGACUUUGUCGCUCCAAUAAGUUAAGUGUUAGUCUCCUGGUUCAACUUGAGUACUUAGUAUAUAGGUUGUGAUUCAUCUGUUGGUAGGCUCCACCUCGCCAUAAAUCGGGGUCGUCGCACACAAUGCCGGCCGAGAUAUUUUUCCCGCCGCGCAAACUGCCUCACCUCAUUUAUAAAGGAAGCCGACGCACCUCCCUGCCGUCCCCACCCGCGCUCGCUUUCGCUCGCGCACGCGCGACACGCCGGCCCCACGACGGGACCGCACACUGCCGUCGGCACCGCGCCGUGCCGCCCACCUCCGCGUCCCCACCCUGCCCACGCCGCUGCAGCGUCCUCGCCGGCUUUGCCGCCUCGACGCUCGCGCCUUCAGCGCUGCCACUGUUUGAGUUGACGGCGAGCUACCGCAGCCCACACCGUCGCCCGUCCCUGUGCGAUGCCGCUGCUGCUCUCCUCGCCUAUAAAAGGAGCGAGGCCGUGAUGAACUCCAUUAUCAGCCCAAGCACACCGAACCGCUUCACUACGCUAGCUGAACCACUUCUCCCGAGCCCAGUUCACUCACGAGACAAAGCUCCAACAAUUGACCCUUUUCCUCGAGCUGUUCCACGCCAAGGUGAGAUGGCAAGCAGCUCCCCGACCAUUACCUCCGCAAUACUAAUAAAGGCCCAAAACACCCACCACGCCGUGAGCACCUAAUCCAAAUCAUUCUAUUUAAACACCAACCAAUAUUGUAAACCCAAAUCUCCUUCGUAUCAACUCCUUUUCACAUAACUCUUUUUCCUAAACUCUCCUCAAAUCAUAUACUAUCUAUUCCUCCUAUUUCAUCUCCAUUUGAGCUUAUUUUAUAGCUUGCUUGUGUUUGUUUGCCGGUUGUGCUGUUUCCGCCCGUAGAUCACGGAGUGACCGAGGAGGAGCCGGCCAAGGAGUAUGAAGGCCAGUACAGCGGGCCGGAGCCAGAAGACCCGUACCGCGAGCACGAAGCCGCCGCCGACGACGCGUACGUAAGCGAAGGCAAGUUUCAUUGACCCCUACGUGAGCGGUUGCAUCCAUGUGAGGACGUCUAGUUGUAGCCCUGGUUUAGGAUCGAUUACAUAUAUCGGUGCUUGAGUGAUUGAGUGUGCUCAUACAUGCAUAUGAGUAGUUAUGCAUAUCCAGAGUUGAGACAAGGAUAUGAAGGGAUUUGGCUGAGGCUAGGGCACCUGGGUAUGCUGGAGCCGGCGCUACCGUGGUGGUAGACUGGCAGGUGAGUGCUACCGUGGAGGUAGGCUCGAGUUAACAUGUUGAGGGAUGGUUGCUGCCCUGGUGAACCAUAAGGACCGAGUUGUUUUGACAUCUCACCUAGCUUACUUUAGUACGACCACAGGUUCCGUUAUGGGCCGGACUUAGCCUAAUCCCACUGUUUAGCCUGACGGUCGCAGGGAUGGUUCACGGGUAUAGACCAUUGGGGUCAGGGCCCGAGGGUUUGUGCGGCCGGGCUGGGGGCGUGACCAUGGCUGGGUGUCGGCUAUGUCGGUUGUCCGUUCGGGCAGUCGAGAUUGUGGGUACAGUGUACGACCUCUGCAGAGUGUAUAAUCCAUUCGAAUGGUCCGUGUCCACGGAAUGGACAGGCUACGGUGUGGUCCUGACAACUAGUGAGCUACCUACUGUGGGAUGUGUCGGGAAGAGUUGCAUACCAUAAGUUGCAUUACUAAUGCAUUGUGCUUAAUGUGCGUCGUGCAUGUCAUUCCCCUCCCGUAGGGUAAGGUGGAACUUGCUGAGUACUUUUGUACUCACCCGUUUAUGACUUAUUGCAGAGGAUCCUGAUUUCGUGCCUGAAGAAUGUGAGUAGUUCGUGUCCUAUACCUAAGUCUGGAGUGGUGCCGUUGCAGUAGAAGCCACCAUGUCAGAUGUAGAGUUUACCCUUGCGUUUAUCACGGCUACUGUUGUAUUCCUAGUUUAUAUUAUUAUUGUAAUCGAACGUAUUAAAUAAAGCUAUGUAUGACUGUGGCACCACUUGUGUAAUGUAUUUUCACCAGAGACUGUUUUUCUAGAGUUUAAAUACAUGUUUAGCUCCGGUUGUUUAGACCGGGGGCGUUUCAAGUGGUAUCAGAGCCAUGCUUGGCUGUAGGACACGAACAGGUAGUAACGGUGACCGUAGGAGCCCUAGGAUGGUCAAUCCUUGAAACGCUAUUACUCCUUAAAAUUUUAUCCUUAUUAUGCUAACCCUACCUUUGUAAGUUAGAUGGCGGAUGACUGGACCACCACCUACUGCAUCAACGAAGAUGGAUUCCCCAGGG
rnacentral:lncRNA from 1 species